rnacentral:rRNA from 1 species
CACGUAGGGUGCGAGCGUUGUCCGGAAUUAUUGGGCGUAAAGAGCUCGUAGGCGGUGUGUCGCGUCGGCCGUGAAAAACCUGCAGCUUAACUGUGGGCUUGCGGUCGAUACGGGCAUCACUGGAGUUCGGCAGGGGAGACUGGAAUUCCUGGUGUAGCGGGUGAAAUGCGCAGAUAUCAGGAGGAACACCGGUGGCGAAGGCGGUUCUCUGGGCCUUACCUGACGCUGAGGAGCGAAAGCGUGGGGAGCAAACAGGA